AAGAAAGAACUGGAAAGAAUAGC
rnacentral:piRNA from 1 species